rnacentral:rRNA from 1 species
UGAGGAAUAUUGGGCAAUGCCCGCAAGGGUGACCCAGCAACGCCGCGUGGAGGAUGAAUGUCGUAAGAUUGUAAACUCCUGUUAGAGGGGAAGAAUAGUACCGGUUGGACCGGUAUAUGACUGUACCCUCAGAGAAAUCCCCGGCUAACUACGUGCCAGCAGCCGCGGUAAUACGUAGGGGGCAAGCGUUGUCCGGAUUUACUGGGCGUCAAGGGCGCGCAGGCGGGAUAAAAAGUCAGUGGUGAAAUCCUACAGCUUAACUGUAGAACUG